rnacentral:lncRNA from 1 species
CUUUUUCCUGAAGUCUUUGCUCAGAGGGACUGCCUUACUAGAACUUCUCCAGCCCUUCCAGAUCUGGACAUCUGAACUUCUCUCAGACAUGGCAGAAUAGCUACUGUGUGUGUGUGUGUGUGUGUGUGUGUGUGUGUGUGUGUUGCACAGUGUGCUCGAGGCAGUGUGCAUUGGGGUGUGGUAACUACAGAGGGGCCAAGCAACAUUGAGAAGUGGAGUGAUCUUGUGGUCCAAGAGUGUGGUUCCUGGUACAGCUCAGGAUGAAGUUUCCCUGGAAAGUCUUCAAGACCACCCUUCUGCUUCUUCUGCUCUCUCACUCAUUGGCCUCUGUGCCCUCUGAGGACCAGCCAGGUGACAGCUACUCCCAUGGCCAAAGCUGUUUAGUUUCAUAGUCUGUGUUGUCCGGUUUUGUGUGUCAGCUUGACACAAGCCAAGAGUCAUCAGAAAGGAAGAAGCUUAAAAUCCAGCUGCAGUGAGCAGUGGGAGAGUCCAUUGUGGGCGGGGCCAUCCCUGGACUGGAGGUCCUGGCUUCUAUAAGAAAGCAGGCUGAGCAAGCCAGAGGAAACAAGCCAGUAAUAGCGCUCCCUCAUAAGGUGCCUGCUCCAGCUUCCAGGCUCCUGCCCUGACUAAGUUCCUAUUCUGACUUCCUUCAAUAAUGAACAGCAACAUGGAAGUAUAAGCUGAAUAAGCCCCCCUCCCCCCAAUAUGCUUUUUGUUAUGGUGUUUUGUUGCAACAAUAGCAACCCUAACUAAAUCAGGGCUUUUAUGUUUAAGCUUUUAUGAAUAAACUUCAUUCUGCUAAUCUGGAAAGAAAAACAAAUUGCUCCAAUGCCAUAGCCUUCUGUUUCUGUAAAACAGAAGCUUACUGUUUUGCAACUCUCAAGUUGUGAACAAAACUCCUGGAUAGAGGCUUUGUGUCUGCAGAGACUGAUUGAUUAGAUGUUCAAUACUGUGGGGAAAAUCGGAAAGUUACAGAUCCACAAGCUAAUUGCCUUAUCUUGGACUCGUUUUAGCAAGAACUUCAAGGUAAUCACAGAAAUCCAUGGGAAAGAACUAAAUUGAAAGUAUUUUGCCAACAUUCAGCAAAUUGACUUCAAACAGACACAUAAGAUGAUAAGAACAGACCAAAUGAGAAGUCUAGACUUGAAAACCAAUGAUAAUUCCCUAGAGAGGCUGGGCAGACUUGAAAUUCACAAAAGAGUCCUUGAGCACAGAUCAAUGGGAAUUAUCCAAAACAAAGCUAAAGGAAGACCAGACUUGAAGGAAAAUAAUUCAAACCUCGGGAACCAGUGCUACGAUGUCCAAUUUCUCAACAUCUGUGAAGUGGGUACUCUAAGGAGAGGAAAGAGAAAGAGGAAGUUUGUAAAGCUGUCUGAAUAAAAGGUAACAGUCAACACCACUUUAAAACAGAGGAAAAUAGUAACCCAUAGAACCAAGACUCUUCAUAAACUUCAAACAGAAUAAAUUCACACUGAAUCCUGACACCUCAUAGCUGGUCUCCUGAAAACAAUGUAAUAGGAAGCCCUUGAACACAACAACAGAAAUAAACGAUGUCUCUUGCACAGG